CCUGCCCUAAACGGUGCACGCUUGGGGUGGGGGGAUUUCACCCCCCCCGUCCCGGAGCUAACGCGUUAAGCGUGCCGCCUGGGGAGUACGGCCGCAAGGUUAAAACUCAAAGAAAUUGACGGGGGCCCGCACAAGCAGAGGAGCAUGUGGCUUAAUUCGAUGCAACGCGAAGAACCUUACCCGGGUUUGACAUGCAGCUGCACGGCCUGCGAAAGCAGGCCUCCUUCGAGGGUGCUGCACAGGUGC
rnacentral:rRNA from 1 species